AAUAGAAUACAAUACAAUACAAUACAAUACAAUACAAUACAAUACAAUACAACACAAUACAAUACAAUUUAAUACAAUACAAUACAAUACAAUACAACUUUAUUCAUAAACAGGGGCCAUUGUCUUUAGAGCUGUUAAGAUUCAAGAGUAUGAUCCUUGUUAACCUACAGUAGUGGAGCAAGUUAAGCAUCUUUUUCCUUACAAAUUCUGUGAAAUUUAUUACAGGUUACCCCGUUUAUGGUCUUCCAGAAAUGGAAUGUUUUUAAUAUCAGUUUGUUGUAUCUGUAGAUUACAUGGCAACAACUGGAUGCUUAUUUUUACAGCACACCAAAUAAGCGACACGGAGAUUGAGUGAACGGCACGCAAAAGAUGUUUUCAGUGGGAAGUGAACAUCAGCAACAUCUGUUCACACUUGAAUAACAAUGUCAACUGUGUAAACAAGUAUUUGUGCAACCUGCGUGUCACAUUUAAGUGGCCAGAUGCUUUCUUUUUUGCUUUGAACUAUAGAGAUAGUCUUUUGUUCACGGGGGAGGCUCCUUAUUCUCCUAGUUCCUGAGCCGGUUAGCCUCAAGCCUGUGAACUGAAUUCCACUCUCCAAUCCCGUCCAGCUAACAUGAAUAGUUUUUAGCAUAGCGAUCAUAGCGAUUUUAGUGUUUGUCUAGAUUUUUUUUUAACAUAUAAAAUAUAAUCCAUUUUAUGUUUCAUGACAAAGUGUGAUCUUUUUCAUCGAUUCAAAACGUUGAAACGAGUGUUUUAAUAUAUGAGUGUGAGGAUGUCUGCUCUUGCGUGUGUAAUCUUUUGAGAAAAAGAAAAAAAAAGAAAGAAGUCUUUUUAAACAAAGAAACGAGUGAAGUGCAUAAAUAUCUGUAUGGGUCGAUUCAGAAAUGCAUUAACUUGCUUAGCCUUUAUUGAAGGUUGACACGUCUGUCUACAUUUUCCUCGAGAAAUGUUUUUAUUUCUACUGCAAAUUUUGAGUAUCUUUUUUCAGUUCUUGUUCUUUCGCCAUAAUGGUGUUGAUAUUAAAAUGACUUUUAUUCACGCCAAUACAUUUUAUCAGUAAACAAAGGUAUAUGAUUAUUUUAGAAACAAGCAAACAAUAGGUCGCAAGCCUUGAUGUUUGAAUCGUUCACGUACGGAGAAGGCUCGGGCCUCAUCGUCCUUGACGACCUGAGAUGCACAGGUGAGGAGUCCAGGUUAGAGGAGUGUGACCAUGAAGGAUUUUAUAAACAUGAUUGCAGUCACAUUGAGGACGUUGGUAAGAUCUGCGACACAGGUGAGAACGAGCUCUUCCUAUCUGUUGGUUUCCUGUAUGCCAUGUUUUUCUAACUAUGCUGAGAGAAACAAAAGGAGUAAAAGAUAUAUUAAUUAAACUAAAAUUAACAAUUUGAGAUGUAUAAGGACGCUUUAUUUACCUACAAAAAUAUAUACAUGCAACAUGCAUUUUCAUAGCAUUAAACCGGUUAGUUUUCAUUAAAAUAUAUUUAGGACUUCAGACAAGAGUACACAUGAGGAUUAAUAUUUUUGCGAUAUAUUAUUAUCUUGAUAAAUUGAUUUCUAAGUUUUGUGAUUAAUGCCGUUUGUCUGUACAGGAUAAUGCUGCGAUCACACUCACAAGUAAUGUUUGAUUUAAUAACAAUGGACCAACAGCAUGCCUCGGUCUUCUUUCUCGCACCUGGAUCAUAUAAUGCAUGUGUUGUAGAAACUCAUCCUCUUUAGGAGCAGGUAGUUGAGGCAUCUGCCUAGUGCCCCACGCUUUUGAUUAAUAUUGUUUGAUGCUGAAGUGCUGCUAAAGCUUUUUUAGUUCAUUGUUUUAUUUUUUAAGGUCACACAUGCUGCUCGCUAGAUAUGAUUUGUUAUUGUAUGUUGUCCUCCUUCAACUUGUUACUUCAACACUUCAGUCGCUUGUUAUAGGUUUUCUUAACGGUUCACUAUUUCAUUGCUUGUAGUUGUUACAGUGGGAAAGACUUCUGUGAGUGGGUCUGUUGGUCAUGAGACUGAUCGUCGGAGCAGAUCGAAACCAUCAGCAGCGACAACCCAAUCUAUGUCAAGACUGCCGAGCUUGCCGAAGAAAAAGAACACAUCUACAGCAAUGUUUGAAGUGUCUGCGACUGGCAAGGAUAAGACGAUAAGCUGCACAAUGUUUGAAAAUUCCUGAAUAAAAACGCAUGUACUAUGGAAUAAAAUACAGCUUGCAUUUUGCUUAUGAUGUGUCAAUACAUAUAAUUUAUAAAUUAGAAGAGAUAUUGGAUAAACCAGUAACCCUAAAGAAAAUAAAAGUUUUCUUUUAAGCUUAGUGUUACGCACCCGAAGAAAAGCAAGAUCUUUAUACUAUUAUAAGUAGUUAUCAGUAGUAAAACAGUUCUUUAUGUAAAUUAAAACUGCUAGUUGAUUUAAGUUUUAGAAUAUUUGAAACAUUUGUUUUACCAUCUAUGUCCAUAAACAAUUAUCCUUUUGUUAAAUUUUUUGGCUUCUUGUUAAUGCAUUCUAUGUUUUGACUUUGUUCUUUUUCAUAUUAAUACACCUGUCAAAAAUUAUGUACUUCUAUCUACUAAAGUAUACUAUUUGAUAUAUCAUCUGUAAGACUCAUAUUAAUCUCCUGUUUGCUAGCAUGCAUGCAUUGUAAUGCCUUUUAUUUUCAGGUUUAAAAGUUAUCAUGGCGACUAGGUUUAAGAAAAGAGUAGAUGUCUAGAAACAGUUGGAACGUGUUUGAAAGGUUUAAAAGAUAAAAAGCAGAAACGGAUGGACAGCGCAUGUCUCUGUCAUAUUAGUAUUAGUAUUUAUACAUUUACAUUAAAUCGUAUACUGUACUAGGAUGAUUAAGAACUGCUCAUACCAAUAUAAUAAACAAUGCUUCUCUUA
rnacentral:lncRNA from 1 species